UUCUUUUUUUCUCAACACAUAUGUGCCCAGUGCCCACCAUGAAUUGGGUACCACCUUGGACAAGAUGAGAAACCAGGCCGUCGAGGAAUGAUGCAGCCUAAGGAAGACGUGUUUUGAGAGAGGCACUGAGGAGUAGGGAUGGUAGAAGGAAAGAGGCUCAUUGCCUGAAAUUCUCGUCACAGCCACCCACAGCGAGCCCUAAACAUACGGGUGGUUUCCAUGGCCCUGACUGCGCUGUAGUGACCGGACCUGCUUACACGGCUUCAGGCGCCCUGCGCAUGUACACCCAGCACCCAUCACAAAGGUUUCUCUCAAAUCCCGGUGCUGCACUCACUCGGCGCAGUGGCUCUCAGGGACCCCACCCGAUCUCGUUGUUGGACCUGCUACCCACAUACGGACGCACGGUGGGCUGGGCGUCCGGCACCUCUAGCCC